rnacentral:tRNA from 1 species
GUUGUCGUGACCGAGUGGUUAAGGCGAUGGACUAGAAAGUUUUUGGGAUCUUCCCGCGCAGGUUCGAAUCCUGCCGACAUCU